rnacentral:tRNA from 3 species
GCCCCCGUAGCUCAGUGGAUAGAGCGACCGCCUCCUAAGCGGUAGGUCGCAGGUUCAACUCCUGCCGGGGGCGCCA